CCCACAGUGAUUUACUUCUCUGCUGGCUGCCUGGGCACCCAAAACAUACUGCUGGGGAGGGCUGCAUGACCGCUCUUGUAGCUUCCUUUUGCUUCCCCAUCGGAAAGUCAUUUUUCUGCAGGGAAGCAAAGAAAUCUACAGUGACAAAUUCUGCGCAUGA